GACGAACGCUGGCGGCGUGCCUAAUACAUGCAAGUCGAACGCUUCUUUCCUCCCGAGUGCUUGCACUCAAUUGGAAAGAGGAGUGGCGGACGGGUGAGUAACACGUGGGUAACCUACCCAUCAGAGGGGGAUAACACUUGGAAACAGGUGCUAAUACCGCAUAACAGUUUAUGCCGCAUGGCAUAAGAGUGAAAGGCGCUUUCGGGUGUCGUUGAUGGAUGGACCCGCGGUGCAUUAGCUAGUUGGUGAGGUAACGGCUCACCAAGGCCACGAUGCAUAGCCGACCUGAGAGGGUGAUCGGCCACACUGGGACUGAGACACGGCCCAGACUCCUACGGGAGGCAGCAGUAGGGAAUCUUCGGCAAUGGACGAAAGUCUGACCGAGCAACGCCGCGUGAGUGAAGAAGGUUUUCGGGUCGUAAAACUCUGUUGUUAGUGAAGAACAAGGACGUUAGUAACUGAACGUCCCCUGACGGUAUCUAACCAGAAAGCCACGGCUAACUACGUG
rnacentral:rRNA from 1 species